CGAUUAUUAACAGUAAGUUUGUAAUCUUCUUGCAGUUACUACCUGUUAGACAACACUCAUUUUUUGUCAACAAUAAUUAUUAAUUGACUUUGGAAUCAGAUCAAUUUCGAUUGAAAAAAUGUCAAAGAUACUAUUUGGAUUUAUUGCCCUUCUUGUUGUUAUUGCAAUGAUGCAAGUCACUGUCGAAGCUCGCUCGGGUGACAGACCUUGCAUAGACAGUACAAAACCGUGUGAAAAUAACGGCGAUUGCUGUAGAGGAGUCUGCUCUUUGUAUCGUUGGGCAGAUGGCCCUAAAUAUAAUACCUUUGAAAAGUUAUGUGAAUGAUAAUAACUUUUCGAGGUAUAUAAUCGCAUGGAAAAGUUAUUUUCUUGUACCCAAAUAAUCUGUAUGCAAUGACAAUAAAAAAAUAUGUGAACAACAAA